rnacentral:rRNA from 1 species
AUUGAACGCUGGCUGCAGGCUUAACACAUGCAAGUCGAGCGAGCGGCGGACGGGUGAGUAAUGUCUGGGAAACUGCCUGAUGGAGGGGGCUAACUACUGGAAACGGUAGCUAAUACCGCAUACCAUCAGAUGUGCCCCGAUGGGAUUAGCUAGUAGGUGGGGUACUGGCUCACCUAGGCGACGAUCCCUAGCUGGUCUGAGAGGAUGACCAGCAACACUGGAACUGAGACAAGGUCGAGACUCCUAAGGGAGGCAGCAGUGGGGAAUAUUGCACAAUGGGCGCAAGCCGGAUGCAGCCAUGCCGCGUGUGUGAAGAAGGCCUUCGGGUUGUAAAGCACUUUCAGCGAGGAGGCGUUAAACGCAGAAGAAGAACAGGCUAACUCCGUGCCAGCAGCCGCGGUAAUUC